GGGAAUGUGGCUUAGUGGUAGAGUGCUUGCCUAGCAUGCAUGAAGCCCUGGAUUCAAUUCCACAGUUCCA
rfam:Dipodomys ordii contig_25124, whole genome shotgun sequence.